AGUGAACGCUGGCGGUAGGCCUAACACAUGCAAGUCGAACGGCAGCACAGUAAGAGCUUGCUCUUACGGGUGGCGAGUGGCGGACGGGUGAGGAAUGCAUCGGAAUCUACUUUUUCGUGGGGGAUAACGUAGGGAAACUUACGCUAAUACCGCAUACGACCUACGGGUGAAAGCAGGGGAUCUUCGGACCUUGCGCGAUUGAAUGAGCCGAUGUCGGAUUAGCUAGUUGGCGGGGUAAAGGCCCACCAAGGCGACGAUCCGUAGCUGGUCUGAGAGGAUGAUCAGCCACACUGGAACUGAGACACGGUCCAGACUCCUACGGGAGGCAGCAGUGGGGGAUAUUGGACUAUGGGCGCAAGCCUGAUCCAGCCAUACCGCGUGGGUGAAGAAGGCCUUCGGGUUGUAAAGCCCUUUUGUUGGGAAAGAAAAGCAGCAGGUUAAUACCCCGCUGUUCUGACGGUACCCAAAGAAUAAGCACCGGCUACCUUCGUG
rnacentral:rRNA from 1 species